GACGAACGCUGGCGGCGUGCUUAACGCAUGCAAGUCGAACGGAAAGGCCCUGCUUGCAGGGUACUCGAGUGGCGAACGGGUGAGUAACACGUGGGUGAUCUGCCCUGCACUUCGGGAUAAGCCUGGGAAACUGGGUCUAAUACCGGAUAGGAGCCAUUUUUAGUGUGAUGGUUGGAAAGUUUUUUCGGUGUAGGAUGAGCUCGCGGCCUAUCAGCUUGUUGGUGGGGUAAUGGCCUACCAAGGCGGCGACGGGUAGCCGGCCUGAGAGGGUGGACGGCCACAUUGGGACUGAGAUACGGCCCAGACUCCUACGGGAGGCAGCAGUGGGGAAUAUUGCACAAUGGGCGCAAGCCUGAUGCAGCGACGCCGCGUGGGGGAUGACGGCCUUCGGGUUGUAAACUCCCUUCGCUAGGGACGAAGCUUUUUGUGACGGUACCUAGAUAAGAAGCACCGGCUAACUACGUG
rnacentral:rRNA from 1 species